GACAGAGGGUGCAAACGUUGUUCGGAUUUACUGGCGUAAAGCGCGUGUAGGCGGCUUCGUAAGUUGGAUGUGAAAUCCCACGGCUCAACCGUGGACGUGCAUCCAAAACUACGUCGCUGGAGUCUCGGAGAGGAAGGUGGAAUGCUUGGUGUAGAGGUGAAAUUCGUAGAUAUCAAGCAGAACACCUGCGGCGAAGGCGGCCUUCUGGACGAUGACUGACGCUGAGACGCGAAAGCGUGGGGAGCAAACAGG
rnacentral:rRNA from 1 species